rnacentral:lncRNA from 1 species
UAUUCUGAUCUAUGAUGACAACAUCAUUUACCGAGAAUACAGAUUGAUUACGAGAAGGGCAUGAAAUAUUCGGGUUACGAGUAAUAUGCUGUGUCCAAAAACGAAAAUCGCCGUAUGUCACAAAUGACACAAAUGUUUGUGAAUAAAACACCUUGGAUUUAUUUUAUUUAUACAAUGACUUUGUGUCAAGAAAUUUGAACUGUGAAUGAAACCCAAAAGCGUAAGAAUCGUGGAACACGUUUGACUGGAAUAAAGAAAUUGACACAAGCAUGAACUUUUUAGAUUGGUGACGGUAUAUUGAGUUCAGAAAAUCGACAAACAUACGCAUUUUUUAUUUAUUAAUUUAUAGCAAGCUCUUAGAUUUAGAUUUAGCCAUGCCUUUCGUUUUCUGUAGAAAAACAGCAAACAUCCUCUGUCACAAUACCCACGAUAGAGUCAUUAAACAACUUUAUGUUUUACAUUGUAAUUAUAUUUGCAUCUUGCAUACUAAGGACCAACCCUAUUAUUUCAAAACUGUUUAAGUUUUCAUUUUAUUCUGUACUUAUCGUACUCGUGUUGCAUACCAAUGCAUUUGCUUCAUUUUAUUAGGACAAUAAAACAUUGCUUAGAAAG